UGAAUGGUAAUAUUGCAGUUAGAAGAGGUA
rnacentral:piRNA from 1 species